AACGAACGCUGGCGGCAUGCCUAUCACAUGCAAGUCGAACGAGAUCUUCGGGUCUAGUGGCGCACGGGUGCGUAACGCGUGGGAAUCUGCCCUUUGGUUCGGAAUAACAGUUGGAAACGACUGCUAAUACCGGAUGAUGACGAAAGUCCAAAGAAUUAUCGCGAGAGGAUGAGCACGCGUAGGAUUAGCUAGUUGGUGUGGUAAAGGCGAACCAAGGCGACGAUCCUUAGCUGGGCUGAGAGAAUGAUAAGCCACACUGAGACUGAGACACGGCGCAGACUACUACAGNNGGCAGCAGUGGGGAAUAUUGGACAAUGGGCGAAAGCCUGAUCCAGCAAUGCCGCGUGAGUGAUGAAGGCCUUAGAGUUGUAAAGCUCUUUUACCCGGGANGAUAAUGACAGUACCGGGAGAAUAAGCUCCGGCUAACUCCGUGCCAGCAGCCGCGGUAA
rnacentral:rRNA from 1 species